GAGGUGUGAGGCCUGGGUAGAGCUAUGGGAGUUGGGAGGUAGAGCUGUGGGAGGUGUGAGGCCUGGGUAGAGCUAUGGGAGUUGGGAGGUAGAGCUGUGGGAGGUGCGAGGCC